AACAGAGGGUGCAAACGUUGCUCGGAAUUACUGGGCGUAAAGCGCGUGUAGGCGGGAAGAUAAGUCGGGUGUGAAAGCCCCCGGGCUCAACCUGGGAAUUGCAUUCGAGACUGAAUAGCUAGGGUACGGUAGAGGGAAGCGGAAUUUCCGGUGUAGCGGUGGAAAUGCGUAGAUAUCGGAAGGAACAUCAGUGGCGAAAGGCGGCUUCCUGGACCAGUACCGACGUUCAGGCACGAAAGCGUGGGGAGC
rnacentral:rRNA from 1 species